rnacentral:rRNA from 1 species
UUUGACUGGGGCGGUCUCCUCCCAAAGCGUAACGGAGGAGCACGAAGGUUAGCUAAUCCUGGUCGGACAUCAGGAGGUUAGUGCAAUGGCAUAAGCUAGCUUGACUGCGAGCGUGACGGCGCGAGCAGGUGCGAAAGCAGGUCAUAGUGAUCCGGUGGUUCUGAAUGGAAGGGCCAUCGCUCAACGGAUAAAAGGUACUCCGGGGAUAACAGGCUGAUACCGCCCAAGAGUUCAUAUCGACGGCGGUGUUUGGCACCUCGAUGUCGGCUCAUCACAUCCUGGGGCUGAAGUAGGUCCCAAGGGUAUGGCUGUUCGCCAUUUAAA